GACGAACGCUGGCGGCGUGCUUAACACAUGCAAGUCGAACGGAAGGGGCCUGCUUUUGUGGGGUGCUAGAGUGGCGAAGGGGUGUGUAGCACGUGAGUAUCCUGCGAUGGGGGUGGGGAUAACUGGAGGAGAGUGGGGCUAAUGCCGGCUAGGAGCGGCUGCAGGAGGGUGGGGGUUGGAAAGUUUCGGAGGUGGGGGGUGGAGUCGGGGCUUAUCAGCUUGGUGGUGGGGUAGUGGCUUACCAAGGCUUUGACGGAUGGCCGGCCUGAGAGGGUGAACGGCCUCAUGGGGACUGAGAUACGGCCCAGACUCCUACGGGAGGCAGCAGUGGGGAAUAUUGCACAGUGGGCGGAAGUCUGAUGCAGCAACCCCGCGUGCGGGAUGACGGUCUUCGGGGUGUAAACCGCUGUAGCCUGUGACGAAGCGUGAGUGACGGUAAUGGGUAAAGAAGCACCGGCUAACUACGUG
rnacentral:rRNA from 1 species